rnacentral:rRNA from 1 species
UACAGAGGUCUCGAGCGUUGUUCGGAUUCAUUGGGCGUAAAGGGCGCGUAGGCGGCGCUGUAAGUCGGGUGUGAAAUCCUGAGGCUUAACCUCGGAACUGCAUUCGAUACUGCGGCGCUUGAGGACUGGAGAGGAGACUGGAAUUCAUGGUGUAGCAGUGAAAUGCGUAGAGAUCAUGAGGAAGACCAGUGGCGAAGGCGGGUCUCUGGACAGUUCCUGACACUGAGGCACGAAGGCCAGGGGAGCAAACGGG